GACGAACGCUGGCGGCGUGCCUAAUACAUGCAAGUCGAACGCAGUGGGGACGGGUGAGUAACACGUGGGUAACCUCCCAUCAGAGGGGAUAACACUUGGAAACAGGUGCUAAACCGAUACUGAUGGAUGGACCCGCGGUGCAUUAGCUAGUUGGUGAGGUAACGGCUCACCAAGGCCACGAGGCAUAGCUGACCUGAGAGGGUGACCGGCCCAACGGGGACGGAGACACGGCCCAGACUCCUACGGGAGGCAGCAGUAGGGAAUCGUCGGCAAUGGACGAAAGUCGGACCGAGCAACGCCGCGUGAGUGAAGAAGGUUUUCGGAUCGUAAAACUCUGUUAUUAGGGAAGCGGUACCUAAUCAGAAAGCCACGGCUAACUACGUGCCAGCAGCCGCGGUAAUUC
rnacentral:rRNA from 1 species